AGUUUGUUCAUGGCUCAAGGCGAACGCCUGGCGGCGUGCUUAACACAUGCAAGUUCGAACGAUGAAGCCUAGCUUGCUAGGUGGAUUAGUUGGCGAACGGGUGAGUAAUACGUUGAGUUGACCUACCUUUGACUCUGGGAUAAGCCUGGGAAACUGGGUCUAAUACCGGAUACGACCAAUCUCCGCAUGGGGUGUUGGUGGAAAGCGUUAUGGAGUGGUUUUAGAUGGGCUCACGGCCUAUCAGCUUGUUGGUGAGGUAAUGGCUUACCAAGGCGACGACGGGUAGCCGGCCUGAGAGGGUGACCGGCCACACUGGGACUGAGACACGGCCCAGACUCCUACGGGAGGCAGCAGUGGGGAAUAUUGCACAAUGGGCGCAAGCCUGAUGCAGCGACGCCGCGUGAGGGAUGACGGCCUUCGGGUUGUAAACCUCUGUUAGCAUCGAAGAAGCGAAAGUGACGGUAGGUGCAGAGAAAGCGCCGGCUAACUACGUGCCAGCAGCCGCGGUAAUACGUAGGGCGCGAGCGUUGUCCGGAAUUAUUGGGCGUAAAGAGCUUGUAGGCGGUUGGUCGCGUCUGCUGUGAAAGGCUGGGGCUUAACCCUGGUUUUGCAGUGGGUACGGGCUAACUAGAGUGCAGUAGGGGAGACUGGAAUUCCUGGUGUAGCGGUGGAAUGCGCAGAUAUCAGGAGGAACACCGAUGGCGAAGGCAGGUCUCUGGGCUGUAACUGACGCUGAGAAGCGAAAGCAUGGGGAGCGAACAGGAUUAGAUACCCUGGUAGUCCAUGCCGUAAACGUUGGGCACUAGGUGUGGGGGACAUUCCACGUUUUCCGCGCCGUAGCUAACGCAUUAAGUGCCCCGCCUGGGGAGUACGGCCGCAAGGCUAAAACUCAAAGAAAUUGACGGGGGCCCGCACAAGCGGCGGAGCAUGCGGAUUAAUUCGAUGCAACGCGAAGAACCUUACCAAGGCUUGACAUAUACUGGACUGCGUCAGAGAUGGCGUUUCCCUUCGGGGCUGGUAUACAGGUGGUGCAUGGUUGUCGUCAGCUCGUGUCGUGAGAUGUUGGGUUAAGUCCCGCAACGAGCGCAACCCUCGUUCUAUGUUGCCAGCACGUGAUGGUGGGGACUCAUAGGAGACUGCCGGGGUCAAACUCGGAGGAAGGUGGGGAUGACGUCAAAUCAUCAUGCCCCUUAUGUCUUGGGCUUCACGCAUGCUACGAUGGCCGGUACAGAGGGUUGCGAUACUGUGAGGUGGAGCUAAUCCCUAAAAGCCGGUCUCAGUUCGGAUUGGGGUCUGCAACUCGACCCCGUGAAGUGGGAGUCGCUAGUAAUCGCAGAUCGGGCAAACGCUGCGGUAAAUACG
rnacentral:rRNA from 1 species